GAGAUAUUACCUCCUUGAUUGCUGGUAGAGAUGGAGUGAAAAGAGAGGACGACGAUGGUGGUGACGAUGUGGGAUUGGAGAUGUGGCAUUAAGAAAGGAUUCCAGUUGAGAGAGUUAAAGGGGCGGCAUUUGCAAAUAAACCAAAAAUCCAUCCCUAAGUAAGUCUCUGCAGAGUUAAUCUUUUCCUCUAAAAUCAUCAAGGCCAUUUCUAUCAUUUAAAUGGGCUUAAACGAUAACAGGUGGCAACAAUAGACAGUAG
rnacentral:lncRNA from 1 species